AACGAACGCUAGCGGCAUGCCUAACACAUGCAAGUCGAACGAGAUCUUCGGGUCUAGUGGCGCACGGGUGCGUAACGCGUGGGAAUCUGCCCUUUGGUUCGGAAUAACAGUUGGAAACGACUGCUAAUACCGGAUGAUGACGAAAGUCCAAAGAUUUAUCGCCAGAGGAUGAGCCCGCGUAGGAUUAGCUAGUUGGUGUGGUAAGGGCGCACCAAGGCGACGAUCCUUAGCUGGUCUGAGAGGAUGAUCAGCCACACUGGGACUGAGACACGGCCCAGACUCCUACGGGGGGCAGCAGUGGGGAAUAUUGGACAAUGGGCGAAAGCCUGAUCCAGCAAUGCCGCGUGAGUGAUGAAGGCCUUAGGGUUGUAAAGCUCUUUUACCCGGGAUGAUAAUGACAGUACCGGGAGAAUAAGCUCCGGCUAACUCCGUGCCAGCCGCCGCAGUAA
rnacentral:rRNA from 1 species